rnacentral:misc_RNA from 1 species
GUUGCAAAUGUUGUUUAACAUAAAGAUUAGAGAAGAAUACAUCCAACAUGACAUCAGAGCUUUGAUUGACAACAAAAGCCAACAUCUGUGCCAGGCCAAUAUCAACAACAUCUGGUGAAUCCAAGUGAGCAACAGAUGUCAUUCCACUGUUUUGGUUCCUUAUGACAAUGCCUACGCAAGUUGUUGCCUCAUCCGUCCCUACCACAUCGACAAG